AAUCUUAUGUAUUUUUCUCUGAGAUCAACAGUUUUCGAGAUUUUUAAGGUCAAAGUGCGUAACUUUCGGGUCUCUUGCAGGCCAAACCAAAGCCUAUUGCAUCUUUAUAUUGCAAUUUUAUGUAGAUUAUAUUUAGUACAAGGGAAUAAACGUAUGAAAAGUUUUAUAUCAGUUACGCGUGCUGAGAUAAUUGAGUUUAGAAAAAUUCUGAAAAAAUGCGCUCAUAUCAGCCGAUAACUCGAUGUAUAGAUGAUUGCUUAUUAACUAGAUAAUCUUUCAUAUUUUUGCCCAACGGUUUAUAGAUUUGACUCCACGCUGUAAAGAAGUAUAAAAAUAUCGAAAAUGGUCAGGUUCAGAUGACAUUUAUUUUCUCCUAUGGGGUUUAACAUGGGCAUUAGCCUUAUAUUCAACUUGAGUUUUUUCGCUCAUCUUAAUAGAUAAUCAAAAUGUUGAAGGUCAUUUGCAUGCACAAUCUUGAUUUUAUUAUUUGAACAAAGACAGGUAUUGAUAUCUAAAGCAGUAAUCAUAUGAGCGCAUUUUUUCAGAAUUUUUCUAAACUCAAUUAUCUCAGCACGCGUAACUGAUAUAAAACUUUUCAUACGUUUAAUCCCUUGUACUAAAUAUAAUCUACAUAGAAUUGCAAUAUAAAGAUGCAAUAGGCUUUGGUUUGGCCUGCAAGAGACCCGAAAGUUACGCACUUUGACCUUAAAAAUCUCGAAAACUGUUGAUCUCAGAGAAAAAUACAUAAGAU
rnacentral:snoRNA from 1 species